UGAAGGUGAAGAGGCCACUUGAAGAACAAAAUAAACUGUGACAGCAGCCUAGGAAGUUAUCUUGACAGAUAGGAAUCAAUAACUGAGUUAGGAAGAGAAAUUCAAAGCAAGUGAUGGAAAACCAUCAAGAAAAGAUUUCAUUAGCCUUUGGUGUUUUGGAGUCCUGCACAAGAAAAAGAAAGUAAUGGCUUACAGUUUUGCUCUGGACAGCAGACUCCUCUCCAAAAGAGUCUCCAGGACACAGGCUGAAGGAAGCUUCGUCAUCUUUAGCUGAGCCAUCUGGAACAUGUGGCCACAGCAGUUGUCAUCACUGGGGAAGAAUUAACAUCAUACAAA